AUUGAACGCUGGCGGCAUGCUUUACACAUGCAAGUCGAACGGCAGCGCGGGCUUCGGCCUGGCGGCGAGUGGCGAACGGGUGAGUAAUGCAUCGGAACGUGCCCAGUAGUGGGGGAUAGCCCGGCGAAAGCCGGAUUAAUACCGCAUACGACCUGAGGGUGAAAGCGGGGGACCGAAAGGCCUCGCGCUAUUGGAGCGGCCGAUGUCGGAUUAGCUAGUUGGUGGGGUAAAGGCUUACCAAGGCGACGAUCCGUAGCUGGUCUGAGAGGACGACCAGCCACACUGGGACUGAGACACGGCCCCGACCCCCUCGGGAGGGAGCAGGGGGGAAUUUUGGAAAAUUGGGGCAAACCUGAUCCCGCCAUGGCGGCGGGGGGAAAAAGGCCCUCGGGUUUGAAACCCGUUUUGGUUGGGAAGAAAAUCCUUUGGCUAAUACCCCGGGGGGAUGACGGUACCGGAAGAAUAAGCACCGGCUAACUACGUG
rnacentral:rRNA from 1 species